rnacentral:rRNA from 1 species
ACUCCUACGGGAGGCAGCAGUGAGGAAUAUUGCUCAAUGGGCGCAAGCCUGAAGCAGCGACGCCGCGUGGAUGAAGAAGGUUUUCGGACUGUAAAAUCCUUUUCUGUGUGACGAGAGUGGACGGUAGCACAGGAAUAAGUCUCGGCUAACUACGUGCCAGCAGCCGCGGUAAU